ACGGGUGAGUAAUGCUUGGGAAUCUGGCUUAUGGAGGGGGAUAACUACGGGAAACUGUAGCUAAUACCGCAUAAUAUCGAAAGAUUAAAGGGUGGGACUUUCGGGCCACCUGCCAUGAGAUGAGCCCAAGUGGGAUUAGGUAGUUGGUUAGGUAAAGGCUGACCAAGCCGACGAUCUCUAGCUGGUCUGAGAGGAUGACCAGCCACACUGGAACUGAGACACGGUCCAGACUCCUACGGGAGGCAGCAGUGGGGAAUAUUGCACAAUGGGGGGAACCCUGAUGCAGCCAUGCCGCGUGAAUGAAGAAGGCCUUCGGGUUGUAAAGUUCUUUCGGUGACGAGGAAGGUUGGUAUGUUAAUAGCAUAUCAAAUUGACGUUAAUCACAGAAGAAGCACCGGCUAACUCCGUGCCAGCAGCCGCGGUAAUACGGGGGGUGCGAGCGUUAAUCGGAAUAACUGGGCGUAAAGGGCACGCAGGCGGUGACUUAAGUGAGAUGUGAAAGCCCCGGGCUUAACCUGGGAAUUGCAUUUCAUACUGGGUCGCUAGAGUACUUUAGGGAGGGGUAGAAUUCCACGUGUAGCGGUGAAAUGCGUAGAGAUGUGGAGGAAUACCGAAGGCGAAGGCAGCCCCUUGGGAAUGUACUGACGCUCAUGUGCGAAAGCGUGGGGAGCAAACAGGAUUAGAUACCCUGGUAGUCCA
rnacentral:rRNA from 1 species